rnacentral:rRNA from 1 species
UACGAAGGGGGCUAGCGUUGUUCGGAAUCACUGGGCGUAAAGGGCGCGUAGGCGGCCUGAUAAGUCGGGGGUGAAAGCCUGUGGCUCAACCACAGAAUUGCCUUCGAUACUGUUAGGCUUGAGACCGGAAGAGGUAAGUGGAACUGCGAGUGUAGAGGUGAAAUUCGUAGAUAUUCGCAAGGACACCAGUGGCGAAGGCGGCUUACUGGUCCGGUUCUGACGCUGAGGCGCGAAAGCGUGGGGAGCAAACAGG